rnacentral:rRNA from 1 species
CCUCCUUUCUUCAUCCUUCUUUCAUAUUUCUCAAUUUUUUAAACCCUUAAACAUCAACUCCGCUUUUAUUAUUGAUUUUUUCUUAUUGUAAACUCCUUUUGUUAGAGAAGAUAAUGACGGUAUCUAACGAAUAAGCACCGGCUAACUCCGUGCCAGCAGCCGCGGUAAUACGGAGGGUGCAAGCGUUACUCGGAAUCACUGGGCGUAGAGAGCGCGUAGGCGGGAUAGCAAGUCAGAUGUGAAAUCCUAU